AGUGAACGCUGGCGGUAGGCCUAACACAUGCAAGUCGAACGGCAGCACAGUAAGAGCUUGCUCUUACGGGUGGCGAGUGGCGGACGGGUGAGGAAUAUAUCGGAAUCUACUUUUUCGUGGGGGAUAACGUAGGGAAACUUACGCUAAUACCGCAUACGACCUACGGGUGAAAGCAGGGGAUCUUCGGACCUUGCGCGAUUGAAUGAGCCGAUGUCGGAUUAGCUAGUUGGCGGGGUAAAGGCCCACCAAGGCGACGAUCCGUAGCUGGGCUGAGAGGAUGAUCAGCCACACUGGAACUGAGACACGGUCCAGACGCCUACGGGAGGCAGCAGUGGGGAAGUUUGGACAAUGGGCGCAAGCCUGAUCCAGCCAUACCGCGUGGGUGAAGAAGGCCUUCGGGUUUUAAAGCCCUUUUGUUGGGAAAGAAAAGCAGCAGGUUAAUACCCCGCUGUUCUGACGGUACCCAAAGAAUAAGCACCGGCUAACUUCGUG
rnacentral:rRNA from 1 species